rnacentral:rRNA from 1 species
UACGAGGGGGGCGAGCGUUGUUCGGAAUUAUUGGGCGUAAAGGGUGCGUAGGCGGUUCCGCAAGUCCUGUGUGAAAUCUUCGGGCUCAACUCGAAGUCUGCACGGGAAACUGCGGGGCUUGAGUGUGGGAGAGGUGAGUGGAAUUCCCGGUGUAGCGGUGAAAUGCGUAGAUAUCAGGAGGAACACCUGUGGCGAAAGCGGCUCACUGGACCAUAACUGACGCUGAUGCACGAAAGCUAGGGGAGCAAACAGG